rnacentral:rRNA from 1 species
AUACGGAGGGUGCAAGCGUUAAUCGGAAUUACUGGGCGUAAAGCGUACGUAGGCGGUUCGUUAAGUUAGAUGUGAAAGCCCCGGGCUUAACCUGGGAACUGCAUUUAAAACUGGCGAACUAGAGUUGAGUAGAGGGGAGUGGAAUUUCAGGUGUAGCGGUGAGAUGCGUAGAGAUCUGAAGGAACACCAGUGGCGAAGGCGACUCCCUGGACUCGAACUGACGCUGAGGUACGAAAGCGUGGGUAGCAAACCGGAUUAGAAACCCGGGUAGUCC